AAAAGGGUGUCUCUUUCCCCACAGAUGUAACCAGGUUCCUGUGGAGGACACGGCUUUGCUAAGCCUGCCUGGCUUCUGUGUCCUCCUCUGGGCCUGAGUGCAGAGGGUGAGAGUCCACAUCCCCAGAACCAUGGGGACUGAACAGGAUUACUACAGAGCAGCAAAGAAGUGGGGCACCAAAGGAAAGAGUACACAACACCUUGUGAACACAGAAUUCUGGUGGACCCAGAAUAUGUGGGAGUUCAGUGAGACUUAAAGAGGAAAAGAUUUCUGC
rnacentral:lncRNA from 1 species